ACUUAAUUACGAACACCUGACCUGCAGUGCAGCAGAAUUCCGAGGUAAGCGUGUUUUUAGAUGCUUUAACGUUUUAUUUACCCCCCGAUUUUGUCAGUGUAUCUUAUACGUGACUUUUGAGGUGUAGUGUUUCGAAUUUUGAAGCAUUUAAAACUUUCCAGUUUGUUUUUAGUCUUGUUUGCGCUCCGGUGACGCGCAGCUAACCUCGAGGUAAUGUCACAUGUUUAACGUUAGUCUAAAUGAGCGUUUUUAUGGCAAAUUCAAAGCGAUAAACUCCAAACGCAGUUUAAAGUUACUGAGCAACGUUAUAAAACAAUAUCCAUUUUAAACGCUGUAUUAUUAGUGUUAUUAUUACAAAGUUAACUGCUGUCGUUUCACUGUUGUUGUUGUUUUUGCUUUUAGACAUGUAACUUACUCCAGAGACGCACUAACUUGCACAGCAUUGAAUGGAAAAGGCUUUGUCCAUGUCCAGUUGAGGGCAUCAAGAACACGCAGAUGGCCUAAACCUGUGUCAGCCUGGACAGACUGCAGUUCUGCUACUCCACGCCAAGGCUUUUGUAUGGAUGUCUUGACUGCUACUGUGUUCUCUAAAGGUUUUCUGGAAGUUCCAUUUGAGAGCAUCAAGGACAUACUGAUGGCCUAAACCAGUGUCAGCCUAGACAGACAGACAGACAUCUAUUGCAGUUCUGCUACACAAGACCAAACUCUCUGCUUUUGUAUGGAUGUCUGACUAGUAUGGUGUUCUCUAAAGGUGUAACUGGAGCAAAACAACAGCACCCGUUACAGUGAAAUUUGUGUUCAUAAAAGAUAGUGAUAUAUCAGGUAUAGUAACAGGUCCAGUACAUUUGUCAUAAAGGUUAAAUCACAGUAAGUACUGUAAAAAUAACUUGUUUGCCUUUGCCACAACAGGUCAUGGUGUGUGCAAACUACUCGUAGUAAACACACACGCUGAUCUGAUGGGGGAGAGAUAUACGCAAACACAUUUGUAUUUACUGUUUUGUUUUGCCUCACUAAAGUGUUGUUGGAGCUUGGUAUGUUCACAGUUGAAAUCACUGAAGUCACAUGGAACGUUUUGACAAUGUGUUUUGUGCCUUAUCUUGACAAUGACCAUCUUGGGACCAUUGCUGUCUGUAGAGGAUGAGGAGCAUUUAAUCUAAA
ensembl:processed_transcript